AAUAGAUACCCAGGUAGUCCACGCUGUAAACGAUGGGCACUAGGUGUCCGGGGUAUUGACCCCCUGGGUGCCGCAGCUAACGCAUUAAGUGCCCCCGCCUGGGGGAGUACGGCCGCAAGGCUAAAACUCAAAGGAAUUGACGGGGGCCCGGCACAAGCAGCGGAGCAUGUGGUUUAAUUCGACGCAACGCGAAGAACCUUACCAGGGCUUGACAUCCCCUGACCGCGUAUGAAAGUACGUUUUCUGCCUUCGGGGCAGACAGGGAGACAGGUGGUGCAUGGUUGUCGUCAGCUCGUGUCGUGAGAUGUUGGGUUAAGUCCCGCAACGAGCGCAACCCUUACGUUUAGUUGCUAACGUGUAAUGAUGAGCACUCUAGACGAACUGCCGUUGACAAAACCGGAGGAAGGUGGGGAUGACGUCAAAUCAUCAUUCCCCUUAUGUUCUGGGCUACACACGUGCUACAAUGGCCGGUACAAAGGGAAGCGAAGCCGCGAGGUGGAGCAAAUCCGAUAAAACGCCGGUCUCAGUUCGGAUUGCAGGCUGC
rnacentral:rRNA from 1 species